CACUAGAGCACUAAACUUGGACAGUCAGGGAACAAUACCAUUUCAAGAGUCCAAAUAAAUACAUAUACAAAUAUUAUGGCUCCUGUGAGUUUUACAACAAAUGCUUUGAUGAAAAUAUUCUCUGGAGCUUAUUGAAGCUUGUAUAUAGAAAGCAGUUUUCACAUUGACUGACAUGACGUUAGUAUAGCUGAGGUCAGUAUGGUGACUGGGCCACUACAAUGAAGUUGUGACCCUGUGAAGCUGUUCAAGAUUUUCUUCCCACCUACAUUAACUUGGAGCUGUCAGACCACAAUGGCCUCAUUACGUCUACGAUCAAUAUGCUUCAGCAUACAUUGGCAAUUGCUUUUUGAGUCUGAAUGGCACUUCACUGUUGAUGAUAAUUACAGAUGUCAGUAAAAAGACCCCAGUAAUUUUAAGCCUGUGUGAAUAAAGCUUAAGUUAAUUGUUAUUUA